rnacentral:rRNA from 1 species
UACGGAGGGUGCGAGCGUUAAUCGGAAUUACUGGGCGUAAAGCGCACGCAGGCGGUUUGUUAAGCUAGAUGUGAAAGCCCCGGGCUCAACCUGGGAUGGUCAUUUAGAACUGGCAGACUAGAGUCUUGGAGAGGGGAGUGGAAUUUCAGGUGUAGCGGUGAAAUGCGUAGAUAUCUGGAGGAACAUCAGUGGCGAAGGCGACUCCCUGGCCAAAGACUGACGCUCAUGUGCGAAAGUGUGGGUAGCGAACAGG